rnacentral:SRP_RNA from 1 species
AGGCACAAUGGCUCACGCCUGUAGUCCCAGCACUUUGGGAGGCCAAGGCGGGCAGAUCACUUGAAGUCAGGAGUUCAAGAUCAGACUGGCCAAUAUGGUGAGACCCUGUCUCUACUAAAAAUACAAAAAUCAGCGUGGACACCCAUCAGUAAUGGUGCCCUCCCAGGAGCGGGGAACCACCAGGUUGCCUAAGAAGGGUUGAACUGGCCCAGGUCAGAAAUAGAACAGGUCAAACUCCUGGGCUGGUCAGUAGUGAGAUUGCGCCUGUGAAUAGCCACUGCACUCCAGCCUGGGCAACAUAGCGAGACCCUGUCUCU